CGGGUCGCCAUCUUGUGAAAAGUCGUUGGGAGCGAGUGGCGGAAUAAACAUAAAGGUGUCUUGAAAUUAAAUAAUUAGGAUUCUCACCUUGUUCUUUUUUUAAAAAAAUGGUAAAAAUCUUUAUCGGGAAUUUGCCUCGUAUAGCGACGAAAGAAGAGAUCAAGGAGCUGUUCGAGAAGUACGGCAAACUGACCGAGUGCGACAUAAUCAAGAAUUAUGGCUUUGUGCACAUGGAGGAUAAAGAGGCGGCAGAUGAGGCAAUCAAGAACCUGCAUCAUCACAAACUCCAUGGGCUUCCCAUCAACGUCGAGGCCAGCAAGAGCAAGGUGAAGACCUCAACUAAACUACACGUCAGCAACAUCGGUAGCGAAUGCACAAACCAGGAGCUCCGGGCCAGGUUCGAGGAGUAUGGACCUGUCAUUGAGUGUGACAUUGUCAAGGAUUACGCCUUUGUACACAUGGAGAGGGAGGAGGAUGCCAUGGAAGCCAUUCGAGGGUUUGAUGGCACUGAGUUUAAAGCUCUGCACUGAGAGAAUCAAUGGUCCUCAGCAGUGGCGAGAGAACAUGGAAAAAGAGUCUUGGAUGUUGCAAAUCAGAAAUAAAUUGAUGCUUUAAUCAUCGGUGAAUGAAGCAGACGGCACUAGAUUCAUUUGUUGUUGAUGGUGUCCAUUGGACGAAGAAUGAUGCACACCUUGUAACUUUUCUGUCAUGAAUGGUGAUGGUAGAUUGAUGUGACCUACUUGAGAAAGGAGCAGAGGCAUUGGACUCGUGGCGAAUCGUAUAUUGUCAAGAAAGCUGAAGAUACACAUACAUCUGGUAGAUGGAGUCUGAAUGAGGGAGAAUGGAUUUAAAAUGAAAACUGAUGACAAGCACUGAUCCUGAAAAUUAAUCAACCAAAAUAAAUCAACUCCCGAACACUGCCUCAGCACUUGGGUCAAUGCAGGCGAGCACAAGUCUUGCCAGCCACCAGGAAAACAAAGGAAAGUUCUGGACUUCACCAAUGAGCUUCCCACUGGAGUGGAGCUGGUCUACAGGACUAAUGGGAAUCUAGUCAACUUGCGGUCCAGAACCGAGGUCACCUCGUGCUCUGUCGUCAAACCACAGUGUGCAGACAACCUCGAGGCACCAAGCUUCAGGUCAUCAUUGAUUCGUUUACUGAAGCAUACAAGACUCAUCAUCCGCAAGACUGAGGGUCUCUGCCCAUCUGCCCCCACUAUACGACACCUUCAUCCAAUAGGAGGCACCUUUCCAAAGGCAGAGAGCAAUGGUGAAAUUCACCUUCAGUCCACCAGCUCAGCCUUUGACUGGUUGAGGGAAAGGGUGUUUUAAAGAUCAAGAUUUCAGAUCCAUCAUAAAACACAUGGUCUCCCAGGCAGCAGUGAUGUCUGCUUCAAAGACAAGGUACCCAAGGGGACCGGAAAGACAAUACCAACAUCAUUUCUGCAAAAUCCUCCAGCUCCACUGGAAGGAUAGGUGAAUCCCCGUCAGCAUCCUCUCUCAGACGACAUCCAGGCCAUACCUUUCACCAGUCCAACAUCAGAUUGCUGCAGCAGACACUGUAUUUUGCGCUCUGUCUUGGGAACAGAUUACCAGGUGGACAGAGGAAAAGAUUCAACAACGUUCUCAAAGCCUCCUUCAAAGAUUGCAGCAUCCCCACAGACGCCUGAAACUGCUCGAGAUGGAGGGGAAACACUCAGAAUGGUACUGAGAACCUGGAGUCUACGCAUCAUGAACGCAGGAAGCACAGGAUAAAUAGUGGAAGGAAUGCACCACCUCACAGGGAUGCAUGACCCACCCAUUGAGCACAUCUGUGGAAAAGUCUGUCGUCCCCGCGUUAACCCCAUCAGUCACCUCAGAACUGGAGCAGAAGCAAGUCAUCCUCGAUCGUGAGGGACUGUCCGAGGAGGAGGGAACAUUUUGCAUACAAACUUCUACUGAUGAAAAUGUGGUAAUCAGCAAUUAAUGAUUUUGAUUUUACUGCAUUGGUUGAGGAAUAAAUAAUGGCAAAGGCUCCAAAAAACUCCUCUGCUCUUCAAUGGAAACUACCCAAGUUUAGUAUCACAAACACAUAAUUGGAGACUGGGUCUAAAUCUGUGUAUUCAAGGAACUAGGGUUUUGUGUGAGGGCAGGACAGAGGUGAUUUGUAAAGAAUCCUGCAAGAUUCAUGUAACCUUGCUGGUUAUAUUCCUACCUCCUCCACUCCACUGCAAGAAUAAGUGGUAGUUUGGCAAGUGAAAGAGACCACGAACUGCUGAGGUACAGUUAAGAUUAUAGAUUGAGUAGGGUCUAGAGGAGGCACUCAACCAUCUUGUAAACAAAAGUCAAUGAGCAUCAAUUUUAACAUCUUUUUUUCCAGUGGUGGGGAAAUAAAUACCAAAAUGUCCAGGAGUAAUGCCUCAUGUCUCAU